GGGAGCUUUUUAAUAUCUUUUGUUCCUGUAGCGGCUAAAUACACUCAUUAUUAAAGCUAUGAAGUUGUCUGCCUGCUACAUUAGUAUCUCCGUUUAAGUGUCUGAGAAAAUGUUUAGACUAAAAUCUGGCCGCAUUUUACAUUGAUUGACGGUACAGUGUGUGUGUAGUUUGUUGUUGUCAAAUAAAAUUUACUUAAAUUAAAUUGUCAAUUUGAUUUUCAAGAGGAAAGUUAAUCAUUAAUCAACCAAUCAGUAAAAUAAUUUAUAGAUUAAUCAAUAGAAAAAUAGUCAUUAUUUGCAGCCCUGCUUUUGUGCAUUUGAUAAACUUGUAUUUGAUUGGAGUGCAGUAUUAUAAUGCACAAUUAUGGUUUCCUUAUUACUUUUUAAUGUAAGACCAUUAAGAGGAAUCAUGCACAAAAAAAAUGCACUGUUAUUACAAUCUAGUACUUUAAGACUGUUUUGGGAAAAUGACUAAUGGAAUGUAAUUCUGAAUAUUUUAUGUUAUUCAUCCCUGCAUUUGCUGAUUCUGGUGCUCUGCAUCACUGUCACACCUGUAGUCCUACUUACUGGUGCUUUAUCUGUCUGGAAUUUAAGAAGGAAAGGUAAGUGGUUUUUAUUCAACUUCUAUAAAGCACGGAUCAGACCUCAAGUGCAUCUAGUGAGACUGACAGUCUGUACUGGGUGUCUGUAGGUCAGCUUGCAGCAGAAUGACCAUCUGAGGAUGACUGUAGAUCGUUACCUUUGCAUAAACCAUCAUCUAAUGUCAAAGAGCAUGUGGUUAAAUUUGGUUCUAUUUUCUGUCUAUAGGUAAAAUCACACAGGCUCUGUUGAGUCACUGGUCACAUGUCGCAGUUCCACAGAUCAUGGUUUCCGCAGCCUUCAUCCUAUGGGGUGUAACUGAAGGAUCCACAGAAGAGGCUGUUACUGGUUCUGUCAUUAGUCUGCUGAUUAUCCUGAUGCUAUUUAAUAUGGCUCCAUAUACAGACGAAAAGGAUGAGAAUGAGGUAAUGGCCAACUCUGUCUUUAGGAAGCACCAUCAUUAUCACAGCUGUAUGCACAGGUUCUCUCAUUAAAAUUUCAGCGAAAUAUUCCCCAACUCCAGCCGAGAAAGCAAUGCUUGGAGGCAUUUUGGGUGGAAUCUUUUUUUUGGUUAUAGUCCAAAUUCUUCGCUUUGUGCUUUGGAUGAAAGGUUCCUCUGUAAAAAUUCGUGGCAUCGCAGCAAGAAUAACUGGAAUUAUAUUUCUGCUCAUCACAGUUUCAUCCAUAAUUGCUCUCAGCAUGUAUUUGAAAAAAGAUCAUGCAGAUGCUGCUUGGAAAGAACAUUUACUGCAUCACUUUUUCUGCUUUCCUUGGUUUUAUUGUCUUUCGGUGUUUGUGUGCAUCGAACAAUACGUUCCCGAAAGACAACUGGAGAACAGUCACUUAGAGACAUUCUAAGUAAUGAUUUUCUUUGUAAGUAUACUUAUACUUAUGGAUAUAUUG